GGAGAAGCAAAGUGAUGAGCAUUACUGGCUGGAACCCCAAAGAGGCACGUGUGUGUGUGUGCGCGCAUGUCUGUGUGUGUCUGUGUCUGUGUGUGUCUGUGUCUGUGUGUCUGUCUGUCUGUCUGUCUUCUUGUCUGUGCGUGUGCAUGUAUGUCUGGGAGUAUGAGUGUGUGUGACUGGUGGUAGGGAACUAGUUAUGUGCCUUCUGUUGGACCAUGACAGUCAAACUGAUAAGAUCUGAUUGCUUC